UACGUAGGGUGCGAGCGUUGUCCGGAAUUAUUGGGCGUAAAGAGCUCGUAGGCGGUUUGUUGCGUCGGCCGUGAAAACCUGCAGCUUAACUGUGGGCGUGCGGUCGAUACGGGCAUCACUGGAGUUCGGCAGGGGAGACUGGAAUUCCUGGUGUAGCGGUGAAAUGCGCAGAUAUCAGGAGGAACACCGGUGGCGAAGGCGGGUCUCUGGGCCGAUACUGACGCUGAGGAGCGAAAGCGUGGGGGGCGAACAGG
rnacentral:rRNA from 1 species